UCAAGCGACUAAGUGCAUGUGGUGGAUGCCUUGGCGAUCACAGGCGAUGAAGGACGCGGCAGUCUGCGAAAAGCCCCGGGGAGCUGACAACGAGCUUUGAUCCGGGGGUCUCCGAAUGAGGGAACUCCAAGCUUUAGCUUGAUCCAUGCGUGAAUACAUAGCGUAUGGAGGCGAACGCGGCGAACUGAAACAUCUCAGUAGCUGCAGGAAAAGAAAUCAACCGAGAUUCCGGAAGUAGCGGCGAGCGAAACCGGAACAGCCUGAAUUCGAUAUUGAGAAGAACACUGGAAGAGUCUGGAAAGGCUCGCCAUAGUGGGUGAUAGCCCCGUACGGGACGUUCAUCUCAAGGUACUGAGGAUUCGAAAAGUAGGUCGGGGCACGUGAAACCCUGGCUGAACAUGGGGGGACCAUCCUCCAAGGCUAAAUACUCGUGAUCGACCGAUAGCGUACUAGUACUGUGAAGGAAAGGUUAAAAGAACCCCGGGAGGGGAGUGAAAUAGAUUCUGAAACCGCAUGCAUACAAACAGUAGGAGCCCUUCGGGGUGACUGCGUACCUUUUGCAUAAUGGGUCAGCGACUUAUGUUAUGUGGCAAGCCUAACCGAUUAGGGGAGGCGCAGCGAAAGCGAGUCCGAACAGGGCGAUUCAGUCGCAUGGCAUAGACCCGAAACCAGAUGAGCUAACCAUGGCCAGGCUGAAGGUGUGGUAACACACACUGGAGGGCCGAACCUACUGGUGUUGCAAAACCAGAGGAUGAGCUGUGGUUAGGGGUGAAAGGCUUAACAAAUCUGGAGAUAGCUGGUUCUCCCCGAAAACUAUUGAGGUAGUGCCUUGCGCAUGAGCUUCUGGGGGUAGAGCACUGUUAUAGCUAGGGGGACAUGGCGUCUUACCAAACUAUGGCAAACUCCGAAUACCAGAAAGCUUCGCGCAGGAGACAGAGCACCGGGUGCUAACGUCCGGACUCAAAAGGGAAUCAACCCAGACCGCCAGCUAAGGUCCCUAAUAUCAGCUAAGUGGAAAACGAAGUGGAAAGGCUAAAACAGUCAGGAAGUUGGCUUAGAAGCAGCCAUCCUUCAAAGAAAGCGUAAUAGCUCACUGAUCGAGUCCUUCCGCGCGGAAGAUGUAACGGGGCUAAGUUGAUAACCGAAGCUGCGGAUUCAUACUUUAGGUAUGAGUGGUAGGGGAGCGUUCUGUAAGCCUGUGAAGGUGGAUCGUAAGGUCUGCUGGAGGUAUCAGAAGUGCGAAUGCUGACAUGAGUAACGAUAAAGCGGGUGAAAAGCCCGCUCGCCGCAAACCCAAGGUUUCCUGCUCUACGUUAAUCGGAGCAGGGUGAGUCGGUUCCUAAGGCCAGGCUGAGAAGCGUAGCUGAUGGAAAUCAGGUUAAUAUUCCUGAACCGGCGUUGAAUGCGAUGGGGUGACGGAGCAGCCAGAGUGGACCGGGUGUUGGAUGUCCCGGCUUCCGAGCGAUGGGUGCCUGCAGGUAAAUCCGCAGGCGUAUACCCAGGACGAAGGAUCGGGCCUUCUUUUGAAGGCGAAGCCACUGGAAGCGCUUCCAGGAAAAACCUCUAAGCUUCAGUUCAACGGCGACCGUACCGUAAACCGACACAGGUGGGUGAGCUGAAUAUGCUCAGGCGCUUGAGAGAACUCGGGAGAAGGAACUCGGCAAAUUGACACCGUAACUUCGGAAGAAGGUGUGCCUUUGUAGCUUGACGGGAGAGAAACCCGGAUGGCGAAGAGGUCUCAGAGAAUCGGUGGCUGUAACUGUUUACUAAAAACACAGCGCUCUGCAAAGAUGAAAGUCGACGUAUAGGGCGUGAUGCCUGCCCGGUGCUGGAAGAUUAAUUGAUGGGGUGCAAGCUCCUGAUCGAAGUCCCAGUAAACGGCGGCCGUAACUAUAACGGUCCUAAGGUAGCGAAAUUCCUUGUC
rnacentral:rRNA from 1 species